rnacentral:tRNA from 1 species
CGGGGUGUAGCGCAGCUUGGCAGCGUAUCUGCUUUGGGAGCAGAGGGUCGCAGGUUCAAAUCCUGUCACCCCGACCA